GGGCCUGUAGCUCAGUUGGUAGAGCGAUGCGUUCGCAAUGCAUAGGUCAGGGGUUCGAAUCCCCUCAGGUCCACCA
rnacentral:tRNA from 1 species